rnacentral:snoRNA from 1 species
UACUGGGGAAUCGAACCUGGGUCUCUAGGCUUCGCAGGCAAGUGCCUUAACCACUAAGCCAUUAUUUCAGCCCCAGAAGAGUUUUUGAAAUGGUUUGAGGCCUUGCUCUGUUCACUCCAGAAAAAGAUUAUAGAAAUUUCAGACAUUU